GGGGUGUGGUUAACAAAAUACAUGGGGCAUGAGCCCAAGAUGCCAGGAAUCAACCCGGGUCCAUAAUUCUACUACCACAGUCCUCACAACCAUGUCCAAGAAGCAUCAGUCCAACGUAUCGCCGUCUUCCUCAUUCGAUUCAACGCCCUACCUCAAAAACUAACAAAUUCGCUUCCACCACUCCAUCGAAAAAUCAUGAACAACGAGUGAAUCCAUGUAUAAUUUACAUGUCGAAUCGAAAUCGAAACCAGGGUUGAAUCCUCCGUCCUUCCAUGCUCAAGAAUACGCCAGAGAAUUUAGGGAAAACGGCGGUAAUGAAGCUAUCCUCACUAGAAUCUUAUUCCCAUCCCCGAAAUCCGGUCAAAAGCGGAUAACUUUCCUCAUCCGCGACCGAAUGAAUCUCAUCUUGCCGUUGUAAUCAAAGCCCCAAACCGGAAUUUUAUACGAGUAGCAAAGAAGAAUGACGACUUACCGUACACCGCGUUGUCGUUGAAGGUGAAUAUGACUUCUCUGGAUUCGCGUUGUGCUUCGGCUUUUUCGGUGAUUCUCAUCUCCGUUGUGAACGGUUCUUGAGAGGUUCUCAGUUGGUUCUUUGAAGUGUGGUUAGAAUUGAAAAGAAUUCACACUUUGAGGGGUUUCAGUUGAAGUUGCGGUUGACGUUUGAAGGAGGGUUCAAUCGGUGUUGCAGGUUGAAGGAAGGUUGAGGGUGGUUGGUUACGAGUUGUUGAGGAAGUGGGAGGAUGAUGAAGGGUUGUCCAUGUGAUUCUUCUAUGGGUUUUGGGAAGGAUACAAAUGGGAGAAUUUUUCAGAAGAGGGAGAGUGAAAAGGGUGAAUGAUUGGUGAAUUGUUGAAUUAUGGGAAAGAUGAUGGAGAGCUUGAAUUGAAGAUGGAGGAUGGUUCUUAUAGGAGAGUAAGGUUAGAGAGAUGGUUGGUUAUGACAGUUGGAAGUAGUUAGUGUUUGUUGAAUUCUAUUAGAGUUUAGGUUGGUUGAAGAGUUGUUGGAGGAUGAGGAAAAUAGGUUCUGAAGGUGUUUGAAGUUGGAUUUCUAUCCUGUGGAGCUAGUUAUUCUGUUAUGAGGCGGUUAUGGGAGGUUGUGAAAGUUAUGUGAUUGAAGGAAGCGAACAAAGGUUAGUUCUUCCAUAUCAGUAUUUUUUUGGAAGAAAAUUUGUUGCAAGUCCUUGAAAUUGGUAAGAAUCAGUUCAUAAUAUUUGUUGUAACCUUGGAAAUUUCUGUUUUGACGGUUCCGUUCUCCUUGGUUAAUUCUCAUUUGGUUAUAGGUGUUGUGAUUAUUUUCUUAGAAUUAUUUGUUUUGAAUUUGUGCAAGUUUUGUAAAGGGGUUCUGCUGCGGUGAAGUCAUGGCUUGUGAGUUUUGGAUGUAGCAGCUUGUGUAGCGUCUUGAAGCUACAACUCUGUUUUGGUUUGUAGCUUUGGCAGCUUUCAAUUCAUUUUUCUGUUUCCGUUUUGGCGCUCUUGGUACAUAGCAGCUGGUGUGGCUUUGUACUUUGUGGCUUUGUGAAGCUUAUUGGUUUGGCUUUGUGUGAUGUGCCCUUUGUCAAAUUCUGGCUUCAGGAAUCAUGAUUUGCUUUAACUUAGCAGCUUCCAUUUUCUUCCUUUUUCUCCUGUUACUGCUCUGUCAUGGACUGAUUUUGUGAAUGCCGAUUAUAGGCCCAAAAUGACCUAAUGGAAGCACAUGCCACAAAGUGAGUUCGUCCAAGCAUAUAGAUUGUGGAAGCAUCAUGGAAAGGUCUACCAAACUCCCAGAUUUUUCUUUUUCCUUUCGAUACAAGCUAUGCAACAUGUGAAUCAUGUAGCAUGUAAUGAUGUAAUAGUCAUCAGGAGAUGGAUUAGUUUAUGUAGAAUGAUUUUAUGUGUGUAAAAUGAGAAUGUUUCAUGGCGUGAUUCACUUAUGGUCGUGCUUAUGUAAUGAAGAACAAAGUUUAAGUCUAA